UGGAGGGCGGGAGGUUUUUUGUUCUUCUCGUAUUUGUUUUUAAUCCCGAAAACAAAUAAAACCUGUCAGAACACCUUCCGCCGCUAGGCAUUACGGGAGAUGUAGUUCUCCGGGUCUUCUUCCCCAAUUUCACCUUCGCGGUGAGGGGGAGGAGAGGCUUUUGAGGCUGACGGUUGCUUGUCACGGACACUGCCCACGCGAGUCUGCUUCUUUGUCCACAGGCGCGGCAGUAGUUUUUUACCCGUCUUCGCCAUCCUCCUCCUCCUCACUUCUCUCCCUUUCCCCACGUGCCCCCCUCCCCCAAAGGCCCUCAUGUGCAUCCCUUAGCCUGGGCUGUGGACCCCGAAAGGGAGGGAAUGUGGGGCCACAGUUUAGGGAAAGACUGACGUCACCCUAUAGGCAAGGCAAGAUGAAAGGACCGGGUGUUUUGAAGAAUCCAUUCUUACGCUCAGGUCAAAGGUCACCUUCUACAUGAGACCUGUGUAGAGAGUCUAUCACUUCCUACUACCAUUUCAUCAACAGCUUCCCCAGGCUCCUUUCAGAUGGAUAUUUCUCUGCCUGGGGCUUUCCCCUUUGGAGCACUUUCCAGAGUUUUGCUGAGGCUUUGGGGAGACUUGGCUGCCACAGAACACUGAGGCACGUGGUGAUUUUCCAAGGCAGUUUUCACUGGAUCCACUCCCUGUACUGAGUCACUUGGGCGUCUUGGUGUUGGUGUUUUGCCUGCUCUAGCACCUGGGAUUCAGGAUCUCCCCCUUAUAUACUGAGUGGAGCUUUCCACUAGCUUGCUGGGAUGCCUUCAGUUCUGUAUGGUCUCCCUUCCCCCAGGGCAAGAGGGGUCUUUUCUGUUAAUCCCUGAAGCUACCUGGACUACUGGACUGCUGCACCCUGUCUUUCUUCUGGUUCAGCUGUUCCAGGGUUUUUCCUUGGGCAAUAUUUUCUGGGCUUUCAGAGCUUAAUAAAGGACAGGACAGUAAGAGUGACUUACUUCUUACUCUGCCAUCUUGGCUCCCAGAAACCGAACCUCCAAGAAAUUGUUAAAGAUCUAUCAGCUAUUAUUACAAAUUUGUUAAGAAAUAUGUUUUUUGUUUGUUUUUUUGCCAAACUGCUAAAUCAACUUCUGCACAUGUAGAGACUCAGAAACAGAAUAGUUGGUAUAUGUCAAAUUGCUUUAAAACCUACAAGACCAUUUGAAGAUUUUUGAAAGUUAUGUCAACUCAGUGACCCAUUGUUCACAGCCUGUCAGUCAGUAUUGGGGGAGGCAUCUCCCAGUCCCCUCAUAUUUGUUAUGUAAUCAAGUCUUCCCUUACCUGUGACCUUUGUACCUGUUAAAAUAAAAACCCCUGUGAACUGCUGUGGUGGAAGAAGCCCCAGGUCCAAAAGGGGGACCUGGAAUGAGCCAGAGUCUGAUCACAGUUUACCAAGAUUAUGAUUGCAUUUACUACCUGAGAAGAAAAGCUUGCAAGCUGGAGCAGUGAGACUGUUCUCAGCUGCUCAAAGGGGAGUGGGAAAAGGAAGAGGACCAGUGACAUCAGGGAGGUGAUGCCAUGACAUACAAGUGAGGUGGAUUUACGUGAGGGAGGAUUGUAAAGUCACCAGACUCACUUUCUCCUCCAGAACCAUCUGGGUCUAGUGGGGAGAUAUAGAUCAGGAUGAAUGGAAAUGGCCCUCUGUUAAUAUUUGGUGUGUUUCUUAUAAACAACACAUUGUUGGCUUCUGGUUUUUAAUCCAUUCUGUUCUCUGCUUCCAUUUAUGGCCUUUUAUCCUACGUAUUUGUGAUGUUCAGCAGUUCCUCUGGAGUCACUCUAUCUUCUAUCAGUAUUUAUCCCAGAAAUAUCACAGCACUUGGAGUUCAGUGACUUGCCCAGGGUCACACAGCUAG